GUGCUUGCUUCGGCAGCACAUAAUGCUAAAAUUGGAACGAUACAGAGAAAAUUAGCAUGGUCCUUGUGCAUGGAUGACACAUAAAUUUGUGUUCCAUAUUUUA